rfam:Schistosoma curassoni strain Dakar, Senegal genome assembly, scaffold: SCTD_contig0000392
AUCUACCUGAUGAGUCCUAAAUAGGAUGAAACACGUGUCCUUGAU